CUGAUGGCGACCGGCGUACGGGUGAGUAACGCGUAUCCAACCUGCCCUUUACUAUGGGACAGCCCGUCGAAGGGCGGAUUAAUACCGUAUGUUGUCAUGUUGAUGCAUAUUUUCAUGACCAAAGGCUUCGGCCGGUAAAGGAUGGGGAUGCGUCUGAUUAGCUUGCCGGCGGGGUAACGGCCCACCGGGGCGACGAUCAGUAGGGGUUCUGAGAGGAAGGUCCCCCACAUUGGAACUGAGACACGGUCCAAACUCCUACGGAAGGCAGCAG
rnacentral:rRNA from 1 species